UACGGGGGGGGCAAGCGUUGUUCGGAAUUACUGGGCGUAAAGGGCUCGUAGGCGGCCAACUAAGUCGGAUGUGAAAUCCCCAGGCUUAACCUGGGAACUGCAUCCGAUACUGGAUGGCUUGAAUCCGGGAGAGGGAUGCAGAAUUCCAGGUGUAGCGGUGAAAUGCGUAGAUAUCUGGAGGAAUACCGGUGGCGAAGGCGGCAUCCUGGACCGGCAUUGACGCUGAGGAGCGAAAGCUAGGGAGCAAACGGG
rnacentral:rRNA from 1 species